UGCGGUCUCCGCAGCAACUCACAACGUUCCCCCUCGUUUUUAGGUGCAUUUCUUGAUCAGCCGCACUUCAAUCGUAUUCUAUCUGUCAGAUGUGCGUUUUGGUGACGAUCCUCCGUAAUUUGGAUCAACGGAGGAACCCCAAUUCAUACCAUAAAUAGAAGUGUAUACCCCCGUUGAAAGACGUCUGAACUACGAACUGGUCUAUCGAAAAGAUAGAACAAAUAAGGAUCAUGAAGCUAGUGUUGCCUUUAUCCGAAGUACCCUGAAGACUUCAAAGUAUUGCAUUGCUUGUGCUGCUCCGAUGAUUUGCUCUACACCAGUUGAUCAGAUUCAGCAGAAUAUAUAAGGUCAAGUUUUGGAAACUUAAUUUAGAUGGUUUUUUGCGAAGCGUUUUAUUUUGAUGAAUAUCCUAACUCAGGAUUCCCUCUUCUGAGUAGAACCCUAAACAACCAUGCUGUUCACUUUUCCCUGUCUGAACAUAAAACGCUUAACAAUUACAAUUAUUUGCAUGUUACCAAAGACUA